AAAAAUUUAGUUAAAUUAUAACAUUAGUUUGUCAAACUAAAAUUAUUUAUAAAAAUAAUUUUUU
rnacentral:tRNA from 1 species